rnacentral:rRNA from 1 species
AGUGAACGCUGGCGGUAGGCCUAACACAUGCAAGUCGAACGGCAGCACAGUAAGAGCUUGCUCUUACGGGUGGCGAGUGGCGGACGGGUGAGGAAUACAUCGGAAUCUACUUUUUCGGGGGGGAUAACGGAGGGAAACAUACGCUAAUACCGCAUACGACCUACGGGUGAAAGCAGGGGAUCUUCGGACCUUGCGCGAUUGAAUGAGCCGAUGCCGGAUUAGCUAGUUGGCGGGGUAAAGGCCCACCAAGGCAACGAUCCGUAGCUGGUCUGAGAGGAUGAUCAGCCACACUGGAACUGAGACACGGUCCAGACUCCUACGGGAGGCAGCAGUGGGGAAUAUUGGACAAUGGGCGCAAGCCUGAUCCAGCCAUACCGCGUGGGUGAAGAAGGCCUUCGGGUUGUAAAGCCCUUUUGUUGGGAAAGAAAAGCAGCAGGUUAAUACCCCGCUGUUCUGACGGUACCCAAAGAAUAAGCACCGGCUAACUUCGUG